UGCUAACACAUGCAGUCGAACGAUGAAGGCNCCUGCUUGCGGGGGUUGGAUUAGUGGCGAACGGGUGAGUAAUACGUGAGUAACCUGCCCCUUUCUCUUGGGAUAAGCCUUGGAAACGAGGUCUAAUACUAGAUAUUCUGCUUCUGCCGCAUGGUGGGGGUUGGAAAGGUUUUUUCUGGUGGGGGAUGGGCUCACGGCCUAUCAGCUUGUUGGUGGGGUGAUGGCCUACCAAGGCGUCGACGGGUAGCCGGCCUGAGAGGGUGACCGGCCACAUUGGGACUGAGAUACGGCCCACACUCCUACGGGAGGCAGCAGUGGGGAAUAUUGCACAAAGGACGGAAGUCUGAUGCAGCGACGCCGCGUGGGGGAUGAAGGCUUUCGGGUUGUAAACUCCUUUUAACACUGAACAAGGGA
rnacentral:rRNA from 1 species